UUGCUUUGGCAGCACAUAUACUAAAGUUGGAAUGAUACAGAGAAGAUUAGCAUGGCUCCUGCACAUAGAUUACAUGCAAAUACAUGAAGCGCUUCAUAUUUUA
rnacentral:snRNA from 1 species